GAGGCCUACCAGGUCCGCCUCACACCGAUAACAAGGUUCGGAGAGGGGGAUUCAACGGAAAGGAUCAUUCACUUCAGCUGUGCACCGGUGAAUCCUCCUUGGAGUAAGUUUCACUGCGACUUUGAAGAGGACACCAUCUGUAUGUUCACCCAAGAUAAAACCGAAGAGUUUGAUU